UCUCCCCCUCGCUUCGCCCUCCUCGCCUGCAUCCGCUCUGGCGACGGUAUCGUCGCCGCCGCGGGAGACGAUUCGCCAGGUCUACCCGCCGGAGUCGAGUGCAUCUGCGGAGGGUCGUAGACAGAUUAUACACUCGGCCGCAUUCUUCGCCACCGGGCUCCUCUUCUCGUCGCCGUUGUCGUCGUCUAGUCGCCGGCCACCUUCUCGUGUUCGUCGGGCGAAUCUGGGACUCUCGGUAACAUCCACCACCCAGAGGGGCGUCAUCCUCGUGGAGGCUACGACAUAUUUCGGUUCAGGAAGAACAUCCCCGCAUCUGAUUCGCGCCCCCCUAGCAGAAAUGCAGGUUCAUGGUCUGCUGUAUAUCAAAGAAUCAGAAGAAGGACAAGCUCUAGAGGUGUUGUUUUGCAUGAAAUAUGUCAUCUCGACAUUGAAUAUCUCACUACUUCUACAGAAACAAGCCUCGCUUAGCUAUCUUGCAAAUCAUGUGGGAAAAACAAAAACUUGUAGUCAUUGCUCUCGUAAAUGUCAUUUGACAUUUUCUCGGUCACACAUGCACAUGUGAUGCUAAUGCUACUGUAAUAGAUGUUUCCUCCCCGUUUUAAUCAUGUGGAACCCAAAAUCUUUUGGAUGUUACUAAUGCAGAGAAGUUAUCUACUUACUUUCUGCAAACAAAAAUCAGAUGUUCUUUUUGUGCAGGUACUCCAA